rnacentral:rRNA from 1 species
AGUAACACGUACUUAACAUGCCCAGAGGACGUGGAUAACCUCGGGAAACUGAGGAUAAACCGCGAUAGGCCAAGAUUUCUGGAAUGGAUCAUGGCUGAAAUCUAUACGGCCUUUGGAUUGGACUGCGGCCGAUCAGGCUGUUGGUGAGGUAAUGGCCCACCAAACCUAUAACCGGUACGGGCUUUGAGAGAAGGAGCCCGGAGAUGGGCACUGAGACAAGGGCCCAGGCCCUAUGGGGCGCAGCAGGCGCGAAACCUCUGCAAUAGGCGAAAGCUUGACAGGGUUACUCUGAGUGAUGUCCGUUAAGGGCAUCUUUUGGCACCUCUAAAAAUGGUGCAGAAUAAGGGGUGGGCAAGUCUGGUGUCAGCCGCCGCGGUAAUACCAGCACCCCGAGUGGUCGGGACGAUUAUUGGGCCUAAAGCAUCCGUAGCUUGUUCUGCAAGUCUUCCAUUAAAUCCACCUGCUCAACAGAUGGGCUGCGGAGGAUACUACAGGGCUAGGAGGCGGGAGAGGCAAGCGGUACUCAGUGGGUAGGGGUAAAAUCCACUGAUCCACUGAAGA